rnacentral:misc_RNA from 1 species
GGUCGAUACCGUCGAUGAACUCAACGCCAACGCCUCCAACGCGCUGCUCAAAAUUCUCGAAGAGCCGCCGGCGCGGUCACUGUUUCUGCUCAUCAGUCACGNUCCUGCGCGUGUGCUCGCCACCAUUCAGUCCCGUUGCCGGAAACUCCCACUGCGGCCUCUGGCGACGGAGGAUGUGAUCCAGGCAGCCGCGGAAGCAGCCGGAUUGAAANAGCGAUCAUGCGCUGGGGGAGGCGGCAGACGCGGCGGAGGGGAGCGUGGCCCGCGCACUCACCUUGCUUGGCGGGCAAUCGCUCGGGCUCCACCAGCGUACGCUCGAAC